AAUUCCAGUUAUUUAAUAAUUUUGAUUCUUCUUUGAAUGUACUUUUAUGUGUCGAAUUACUCGGUACAAUAUUCUUAGAAUAAAAAACCCCUCUUAUAUAUACAAGAAAAAAAGUUUUGUUUGGUAUACUGUGUGCUAAGUAUUCUUUUCCUAUCAAUGAACUUUUCAUAAUUUUCAUAAUAAAAUAUGAGGAUUCUAUUAUGAAAAUUAUGAAAAGUGGAGUAUUCUUACAAUAGGACUUACAACUUCUACCUAUCUUCUCCAAAAUCUUAAGGUUAGUAAAUCUUAUUAAUAAAAUCAUAAAG
rnacentral:rRNA from 1 species